GUGGAUUAGAUACCCUAGUAGUCCACGCCGUAAACGAUGGGUGCUAGGUGUGGGAGGUGUCGACUCCUUCCGUGCCGCAGCUAACGCAUUAAGCACCCCGCCUGGGGAGUACGGCCGCAAGGCUAAAACUCAAAGGAAUUGACGGGGCCCCGCACAAGCAGCGGAGCAUGUGGUUUAAUUCGAUGCAACGCGAAGAACCUUACCAGGGCUUGACAUGCACUGGAAAACCGUAGAAAUACGGUCCUCCUUCGGGACCAGUACACAGGUGGUGCAUGGUCGUCGUCAGCU
rnacentral:rRNA from 1 species